GGCAGUGUAGCCAAGUGGUUACGGCGUCACGUUUAGGUUGAGUCGUUACCAGCGUCGCUCUAAUCCGUGAUGGGUCUUCCCGCGCGAGUUCGAAUCUCGUCACUGUCA